rnacentral:rRNA from 1 species
CUGCAACUCGCCUGCAUGAAGACGGAAUCGCUAGUAACCGCCGGUCAGCCAAACGGCGGUGAAUACGUUCCCGGGCCUUGUACACACCGCCCGUCAACUCAUCCGAGUCGGGGGUACCCGAAGUCGCUGGCCCAACCGUCUCCGACGGAGGGAGGCGCCGAAGGUAUCCUCGGUGAGGAGGAGUAAGUCGUAACAAGGUAGCCGUAGCGGAAGCUGCGGCUGGAUCACCUCCUUUCUAAGGAG